rnacentral:rRNA from 1 species
CAGGGCCAUACCAUUCUACAGCAUAAGAGAGGUAGUGACAAGAAAUAACAAUACAAGGCAGUUAAAAUGCUUUGUAAUUGGAAUGAUAGAAAUUUAAACACUUUUUAAAGUAUCAAUUGGAGGGCAAGUCUGGUGCCAGCAGCCGCGGUAAUUCCAGCUCCAAUAGCGUAUAUUAAAAUUGUUGCAGUUAAAAAGCUCGUAGUUGAAUUUCUGCUAAAAAUAACCGGUCUGCUUUUAAUAAAGGUGGUAUCUUGGUGUGUUUUUAGCAAUAAUGUCCUUUGAAAUGUUUUUUACUUCAUUGUAAUAAAUUAUAUUUAGGAUUUUUACUUUGAGAAAAUUAGAGUGUUUCUAGCAGGCUAAUGCUUUGAAUACUGCAGCAUGGAAUAAUAAAAUAGGAUUUUGGUUCUACAUUAUUGGUUUUAAGAGCUAAAUUAAUGAUUGAUAGGGACAGUUGGGGCAAUUUUGUAUUUAUACCCGCGGAGGAUGGAACGAAUAACCCUGACCGAAACACCUCUUCUCAUUUGUAACAAUUAAAAGCCGUCCAUA